AGCGGCUGCUCAGUCAAAGAGCUGUUGCUGACUGCAGAGUCUAGUGCUUCGGAUGCUGUCCUUGGCGGCUCAGGGCUUCGUGGAUAUCAUCAAACACAAAACCGUGAAGAACAGAAAAGAAAUAGUUAAAGGACCGGAAGAAUCAUCAGCGGAACAGUAUGAAGCCACUGCCACUGCCAUUCAGUCUUUUGCCGCUAAUGUCAACAUAGAUGCCCCUCUCAGCCUGUGCCAAGUGUUUGCCUCAGGCCCUGCUUGGGGGAAAUUCACAUGUUGGAAAGAUUUAAGUGUGAUAUGCCCUUCAUGGGCUUCUGUGUUUGAACACUGGCGAUCUCCACGUCGUGAUGCCGUUUGCGGAGGUUGCGGAGACCUUUAGUGGAAGUGAGGUCCACGGAGAUGUGGAUGUUGCUUCCAUUUGGAGAGGUGUAUUCUUGGCUGGUGGCUUCAGCCUGUCCCCAGGGAUGAAGGCAUGGAGGAGCAGCUCCAUUCGUGGCAUUGGGAGCAGCGGUUGAGUGUGGUUGUUCACAUCGAAGUAGACCAGAAAGUAGAGAAAAAGGCUUCCUGACUCCAGAUGGAAUGGGACUCAAGCUCCUGACACCGUCACUGUCGCCUCCCUACCACGAUGGGCUCCACCUUCAAACUGUGAGCCCAAACAAACUCUUCCUCCCUCAAGCUGCUUCCCACCCAGUAUUUAGUCACAGUGAUAAGAAAAGUAACCGAUCCAGACUGAAUCACAGAGAUACGAAGGACUUCGCCCUGGUUUACACCCUGGGUGUGAGAUUUCACCUGUCUGCUUCUGUGAACUUCCUGCUCCAGGAAACAAGAAAGAGGUCUGAAUGGCAGAGAUAGUGUCAUGACAUCUCACAGGAGACAAAAGCAGCACCCCCCCCCGCCACACACACACACACACACACACACACACACACACACACACACACACACUCACUCCUAUCACACUCAUGCAGCCUCCACUGCCACCACACACAUUUGUUUUAAAAACAAGUCAUUUCAGAUGAGAGUAACGAUGAAACGUGAUUGACUCUGAGUUGGCAUUUUUUGAAGCAGGAUGGGAAAUAUAAAGUCAUUUAUUAUUUCACCUGCUUUUGCUUCUGUCCAUCAUGCAAAGGGUUUCAGGGAUGAAUGUGUUAUUUCUUGCACAUCUGAAACUGGUUACACACUAUGACAUAAAAGUUGCAAAGCAA